rnacentral:rRNA from 1 species
GGGAUAACACUUGGAAACAGGUGCUAAUACCGUAUAACACUAUUUUCCGCAUGGAAGAAAGUUGAAAGGCGCUUUUGCGCCACUGAUGGAUGGACCCGCGGUGCAUUAGCUAGUUGGUGAGGUAACGGCUCACCAAGGCCACGAUGCAUAGCCGACCUGAGAGGGUGAUCGGCCACACUGGGACUGAGACACGGCCCAGACUCCUACGGGAGGCAGCAGUAGGGAAUCUUCGGCAAUGGACGAAAGUCUGACCGAGCAACGCCGCGUGAGUGAAGAAGGUUUUCGGAUCGUAAAACUCUGUUGUUAGAGAAGAACAAGGAUGAGAGUAAAACGUUCAUCCCUUGACGGUAUCUAACCAGAAAGCCACGGCUAACUACGUGCCAGCAGCCGCGGUAAUACGUAGGUGGCAAGCGUUGUCCGGAUUUAUUGGGCGUAAGGCGAGCGCAGGCGGUUUCUUAAGUCUGAUGUGAAAGCCCCCGGCUCAACCGGGGAGGGUCAUUGGAAACUGGGAGACUUGAGUGCAGAAGAGGAGAGUGGAAUUCCAUGUGUAGCGGUGAAAUGCGUAGAUAUAUGGAGGAACACCAGUGGCGAAGGCGGCUCUCUGGUCUGUAACUGACGCUGAGGCUCGAAAGCGUGGGGAGCGAACAGGAUUAGAUACCCUGGUAGUCCACGCCGUAAACGAUGAGUAUAGGUGUUGGAGGGUUUCCGCCCUUCAGUGCUGCAGCA